UUUUUUCAAAUAAUUUCCCUUCCCGCCCGAAUUAUAAUUUUACCCAGGAAAUUGUCCUCGCGGGUUUUGGGGGCUUCGCCCCUCGCGGGCCCAGGGACAGCAGGGAGGGGGCGAGGGGGAGGCGGCAGCGCGGGUGGGCGCGGCAAGGAGCGGUCCGGAGUACAGCCCUGGAGAAGCCGGCUCGGAAGGGGGGAGGGGGAGGAGCGGGGGGGAGGGGGGAGCGAGCGGGCAAGUGAGCGAGGAGUUCCCGGGGGCUCGGUUCGGCGCUGCGCUCCCCCCGCUCGCUCGCUCUCGCGGCUGUCUCCGCUCUGCCUGGCCGGGGCUCAGGCCGCCGCCGCGUCCGGGCCCCGCUGCCGCCGCCGGUCGCUGCGCAGGUUUGGAACGCGCGCCAUUUUGUGAGCGAUAGAAAAUCUGCCCGGCCAGGAAGCGCCGCGGAUCCGCCCGCCGGGCCGGGCCCCCCCGCCCGACUCCCCGCGAGAGGGAGGCGCGCUGCGGGCUCCCGCCGGGGCCCCGCACCACACCGGGGCCCGAGGGCGGCUGGACUGCGGAGCGGAGGCGCUGCGGUGCCGGGGCCCCCGGCCGAAGCGGGGGAAGCGCUGUGCCCAGCCGCCGCCUCCCCGGAGCUCGAGAGAGGAGGCCUCUGCCGGGAUCGGGCCCCCCACGGCAACCGGGCAGGAGAGCAGUGGCCACCCCCAACCCCCACGGUGUUGUGUUUUGCUGCUGGACUCUCCCCUGCCACCCACCCCCACAGGAUGAUAUGAGACUUGAAAGAAGACGAUGCAUACAGGUGAUUCUAGUUUUGAAAUUCCUGUAGAAAGAAAGAUCUAUAUUGAUAUUCUGAUGUUCUAUUCUUUCUUUGGAUUUUUUUCCUAUCCCCCAAAACUGCAUCAUUACAACCUUCAUAAAACAUAUUUACAAAAGGAGUAGAAAUCAUUGAUCUUUUGGAGAUUACUUUCUAGAAAUUAUAGUUUGAAAUGUCCAGUAGAAAAACCGCUUUCCUGAAUGUAGAUUCUUUUCCAGUUUUCUCUAAAUAGAUGGCCAGGCAGUCAAAGUGCUGGGAAAGCAUAUUGCUUUAUUUUAAGUCCCCUUGUUUUUGUUAAUAUUCCUCCUUUCAUACUUUUCCCAGUUACAGAUUUCCAGUUGUGAUGUGUUGUGUAAUUAUUUGUAUAUAAAUUUUAAUGUUAAAAUAAUGUAUUAUUUAAAAAACAAAACAAAAGUAUGCAUCUGACAAACUAUUUUAAGCAAGAAAAUAGUUAACACUACUUCAUCUUUAAUCACUAUUGGACCUAGAUUUUGUAAGGGUUUCACAAGAGUUGAUGUAGCCCUCAACUGUUUGCAAUAUACAGCCAUUCUUCAAGCUGAUGCUUUGUUUUGGUGCUUUUUUUUAAAUUGGAAGUUCUAAAAUCAGUGUGAUUAAAAAAAUAUAUAUAUUUCAAAACCUUUCCAGAAAUCAUACGCUUUUUUGGCUAUGUGGAUCUCUCAAAACUUGUAUAUUUUGUUUCAACCCGAAGGGCAUUACUAUGGCCAAGCCUCAAAUCCCAUGAAAUGGGAUACAUAAUGGGGAAAAAAAACAAAUGAAGCAAAGUAGAUUCCUUGGAUUGGAUU